CAGGCAUCUGUCAGAGUGUUCUCUAUCAUUUCUACUCACCUGCUUGGAUGCCAGCUGGUAGUGUGGUGGAAACGGCCACCGUGAGCACAGGGGGGACUGGUAGGGUGGCUGCAGGGGGCUGGAAGCAGCUCUGCACCUCGUCAGCCACAAAGCCACAGACAGAGCUCAUAUAAAAAGGGCUCUGCAGGUCAUCUGUGGAGAAGGACUGACUGAUUCUCCCGAGGAUCGACCGCACAGAGUCAAAAGCAGCAGCCCGGGAGAAAGGGAUGUGAGGGGAAGGGUCCUUUAACAUGCAGGAGAGCUUCUCCACUACGGCCGCCACCAUGCCCACGGCCAUCCCGCUUAUUAGGAUUGGGUGCUCUGAAUGGCCUUCCUCUGGUUGAAGCCACAGGGCCAGGAGGAGUCUGGGCACCACCUCCACCACCACCUGAGAUGGGCUGAGCAGGUUGCUACGGGGCUCAUUGGACUGCUCGCCCAGAAUGCUUCUCACAGCUUUCUCCACGAUGCUGUGGACCUUCGGAUCGCUGAAAUCAACAAUAAGGAGAAAACAAAGUGCUGCUGGUUGCAGGGAAUGGCAGUGAAGGUGAGUGCUGACGUGGUACUCACCUCUCCCUAAGAGAUUUUUUGCCCUGAGACACCAGCCAUUUGCUCAUGUGCUCCGUGGUGACAUGGGGAGGGACCUGGCCUUGACUCUGGAGCAGCAGAUAGUGGACCAUGAGCUUCUUCUGCAAGAUGAGCAGGCCUGCAGAGUCUGAAAA
ensembl:lncRNA